GAGCUCUUUGGUGACAUAAUAGUAAAAACUCAUGGGAUGUGGUGUGCUCUGGACACAUAGGACAUGUGGAAAGUACGCACGCACACACCUAAACACCACGCAGCAUGCCUCUAAUAACGAGAGGGACAGCCGUGAUGCUCACAAACACACACACACACACACACACACACACACACACACACACACACACACACACACACACACACACGUGUGGAAUGGACUCUUAUUAGAGCAAACUGACCUUGUGUUUUGCUCAGCAGUAGGUGGAGUUCAUGUUACAGAAGUCUGUUUAUUAUCUUUACUACGUGGCUUUGCUGAGGUUUUUAUUUGCCUAAACAGUUUAAAACCAUCUAUCAGUGUCAUUCCACUUCACACUCAUGUAGUGAUUUGUGUUGGUCUCACUAAAACCCUGAACUGGAGUGUUUUGUGGGACGUCAUUUGCUUUCUGUUGCAGCAGAAACAUCUGCAGGAGAGCUCAUUGAGAACAUGGAACUGUCUCCAGGAGUCACAGAAGCUCAGCUUUGGCAGGCCCAGAAAAUAAAACAGGCCAUCAUCCUCCCUGACACGGGGGAGAGAAUCCUCCUGCCCUUUAGGAUGUCAGGUAGAACAGCUCAGUGUGGGAGUCUUGGGGGACGUGGGAUCUAGGGGCUUGUUAUGUGGUCCAACAUGGAGGCGUUGUUCGCCCUGGGAACUGCCAGGGCUCAACGGGACUCUUCAGGUUGUCUCAGGCCUGCAAAAGGUCACACUCAGCUGGGGGCUGAUUAAACCCUCUCUCCUGUGGUGACAGUCAGGUUUUACAGGUACGGAGGAGCUUGUAUUUAGGUCUCACAUUCAAAAUAUCCGAGGUUAGGAGAGAGGCUGCGGUGAUUAAUCUGUUGAAACAGCAACAAAUAUUGUAAGAUGUGAUUUAAAAAAAUCUAAUAUGUAGUUUUUCCCCCUUUCUUCCAUGAACAGACCAAUCUGUUCAUAAAUGAAAAACACGGAAACUCUGAGUUGAAUUUGAAAUGACUAAAUUAAUGUUUAAGAUAAAGAACAAAUACUCAAAUAAAACAGUAACAUGAAACUGUUAGAUAAUAUAAGAAGGAUGAUUUAACUGUAUGGAUAAUAAUUAUAGUAGGCAGGAUGAUGUCAGGAGCCCCAGCUCACAGCACUCCAGCUCCACUCCCUUAGCCAAGCCAUCUGCACCCUACUCUCCUUCACCUGCUCCACGUAAUCACCUCAUCCUGCUCACCUGCUCCACAGCUUUAUUAUCACCAGUCAGUUCCCUGCCAAAUUAUUGAAUGCUUUUGUCAGUAAAUUCUCCACCACUUUGAACCUCUGCUUUAACCAACAAUCCUGACCUUGUUUCUGACCAUCGACCUACCCAUGUGCACGCUCCCUGACUGGAUUCUCGCAGCUUCUGAUUUUCUGGACUCCUGACCACUCAGCUGGACUCUGCCUCUGGAUUACCCCUCCUGUUCUCGUCACGGAUCUCACCUGUUCUGACACCUGCCUGCUCCCUAUUCUGGGUAUCACAGCCUAGCCCUGACUCCAGUCAUAAACUUGUUCAAAUUGCCUUACUGUGUGUGUGUUGUCUUCACGGGUCCCCAUGUUCUGCUCCUAACAGAUGAUUAGUAUUCAGAACGCGCUUUGAUUGGCCACUAGAAUAUUUCAGCUCUGCCGGCAGCUCACUUUGUGCGCACAUGGCGAGUUUCUACUCUCCGUGAGGCGGAAAAUAUUAGAUCGGUUUGAUUUGUACCUCAGCGUCUCGUGGGACAGAAAACGCAGUGGAAAAUUAGGUGCACACAACGAGGUAUCUGCUGAGAAAACGGUCAUUCGAGGCAGUUUGCUCUCAUGUGCGGCAGGCUUACCAUUGACAUUGUUUGCUCUCCAAUGUUGAUGUUUGAUCUCUACAAACAACACAAGCCUGGAAAAGCUUCUGCUGUGUGGUGGAGUUGCUAAUGCUAACAGUUAGCUUCUACUAGCCAAGAUGUUCCCUGGACGCUAAACCAACAACAGCCUUCCCCAUUGUGAGUCAAGAUGGGUGAGUCCAUGAAUGUUAAGUGACAGUGUGACGGAUCGGUCAGGAUUUUUUUUAUCAGUUUCACCAUCUUCUAUCAGAAGCUAAUGCAGGAGAUAGGUGUAGGAGACUAAUUUCAUGUUCAGCCUGCUUGAAAAACUCAGUGACCGAUUUAUAACCAGAAAUAAUCAUUAAAAAUGUUUUUCAGUGAACCACACCUUUGAAAAUAGGAACUAGGAUGUUGGAAGUAUUUUAAAUCAGUUGCAUAGACAGUCAUACAGACUGUCUUUAAACAGGUUUCAUCCCAUUUGGCACUCCAGCGAUAAGGCUCCGUGUGUAGUAGACACACAAAUCCAAAGUUGACAGGUGUCACCAUUUUACUUGAUGUCAUUUUAUUUCUGCAGUGGCUGAACCAGAGUCACAAUGCCUGUGUGAGCAACUGCAACUGCAACGCCUCUAAGGGAAUUCAUCCAGGGAUGUGGGGCGACGGUGGCACAGGAGUUAAGUGCUCACCCCGUAAUCGGAAGGUUGCAGGUUCAAGCCCUGCUCAGUCUGUCGCUGUCAUUGUGUCCUUGGGCAAGACACUUAGCCCACGUUGCCUGCUGGUGGUGGUCGGAGGGACUGGUGGCGCCAGUGCUCGGCAGCCUCGCCUCUGUCAGUGCGCCCCAGGGCAGCUGUGGCUACAUCGUAGCUCAUCCCCACCAGUGUGUGAAUGGGUGAAUGACUGAUUGUGUUGUAAAGAGCCUUGGGGGGUUCCAGGACUCUAGAAGGCGCUAUAUCAAAUACAGGCCAUUUAUCAUGUGCAGGAGCGGUGACCAGUGCCGUGUCUAUUGCUGUGAGUUCUUUAGGUCAGCUGCUAUGAGGCGUGAUGUCAUCACAUAGCGUGUAAGCACGGCCAACAGAACCCACCUGGAAGAUCUGGGUUUCUGCAGACUCCAUCUAACACGUGGUUGGAUUUCUGUCUGUUUUCCCUAUUUGCUCUUUUGAUUGUUUUAAUUGUAAAUAUAAACAUUUAAAGAAAUUUCUUUGUUUGCAUGAAUAAAAUACAUUUUUGUUGGUUAUUAAUGGUUAACAUAAACUCUAAAGUCCAUUUUUGAGAAAAUAUAUCAACAUUUAGUUUUAAUCAUUUUGAUCGCCGAUUUCACACAUUAUUGUAAAAAAUACACCUAAUUGCAGUGUGUUUAAUUGACCCUGCAGGUAAAUAGUACAUUUGUACAUAAUUGGACUCAAAUCCUAUUAAUUAAUCAUUCGGAUCAAAAAUUACUUAAUUUAUUUCACUUUCAUUUAAAAUGAAGACAAACCCACUGAGAUUAAGAAAGUCUGAAUGCAACACAAGCUCAGCAGACGUCUCCACCUCCUUCAUAGAUCUUCUUAGACCAGAUCCUUUAUUUUCUGGUGACUCUGCAUCCAGAUCCAGUCGUGAGCUGCAGCUCUAAACCUUUUUUACUUGUCGUUUAACUGCCAGUCUAAAGAUAUGAAGGCAGGAGGUGAUUCAUUUAAAUGCCAUUAUGACCCUCAUAACGCCAUUUGAGGUUGUCUCCCGUCUGUGUCAUCAAGGACUUAAAUGUCCCAAGCGUACAACACAUCCUCACACACCCGCCUGAGCCGGCCUCCAUCAUGGACAAAGCUCUCAAACUGAGCCAAUUACUGGUCCUGCUGGGCCUCAUCCGGCUCAUGGCUUCAGGCCUGAUGGUGACAGCGAGCACAGAAAAACAUGGUAGGGAGUCUGGAGGGAGGAGCGCCAGGCCGAGAAGGGGCAGGAACCGUCCAAUUAAACGUCCGUCCUGGUGACAACCUCCAGCUGGGCUGUGGAGAGCUCCAGGCUGAAGUUUCACAUUUAACCUGAAAGGAUUAAAGACACCUUCACAAGUUAUGCCCCACAAACCGGCUUUACAUACUUCAUAAAACAACAUAAAAUACUAAUAUGGUGUUAGUAUGUACUUACUUUCUAUUUAUGGCAUGUCUCCAUCAAUUAUUAUAAAGUUAAUUUAAAAUAAAACGUUUUUUGGAUGAUUGUAUAUAAAUAUUUAAUUUGUUUAUAAUUAAAUUAAGAAUUUUGUUUCUUUAGCCAAAAUCCGUGUGUGUGUGUGUGUGUGUGUGUGUGUGUGUGUGUGUGUGUGUGUGUGUGUGUGUGUGUGUCAUCAGGUUGGUCUGAAUGUCUUAAUUCAGAGGGCGAGCCGUGUCGGCCCAACCACCGUUUGUCUCCUUUCUGCAGUGGGUGAGUUUAAAUCAUCGCUGUUGUUAAAAUAUUACAUACAUUUCAGAUCAGUGUCAGAUGUGACCACACUCUCUCUCUUUUGCAUGUUUCGGUCCUCUGUGUACAGUAUUCAGCUGAGAACAUGAACAGUGCCAGGCCUCUCGGAUGAAGCAGUCUGAUCAAACCCUCCGUUUCUGCUCUAAGAGCACAAUUAUCUGUGGGAAAGCAAAGAAGCGAGCCUUUGAUUGUUUCAUCCCACUCCUCACAGUCUGUUUUCAUCUCUGCGGGGUCAGAGUCGUGCUGAGAGCUUUGUCAGAUGUGUGUGGAGCCACCAAAGCUGAUUUUCAUGCCACCUCCCCGCAUCACAAUCACACCCAGGGGUAUUGACCCGUGUCCCAUAAUGCUCCGAGCUGCUGGCUCAUAAUUAAAUUGUUUGCUUGCCCCCCUUCCUUACCAUAGCAGCUCUUCUAAUUAAAUCAACAGGUUUCUGCAGCCCGCUCUUUGCCUGGUAAUUGGCUGCUCGGUGGAACUCUGCUGCUGCAAACAAAUGGGAUAAUUACUCCUAAAGUGGCGUCUAUGUCAGGGCCUCAUUUACCUGAUUUCAGUUUGGGCAUUGUUGUUGCUGCCGUUGUUUUGGAGGCCCAUGAAAAAAGUAAUUAAAAAGGCUAAUUGAAGCGAAGGAAAGCAAAGUGCUGUUUGAAUUUUCACCCACUUGAUUUUGUGUGGUUACUUAA